rnacentral:rRNA from 1 species
AGAGUUUGAUCCUGGCUCAGAUUGAACGCUGGCGGAAUGCUUUACACAUGCAAGUCGAACGGCAGCACGGGGGCAACCCUGGUGGCGAGUGGCGAACGGGUGAGUAAUACAUCGGAACGUGCCCAAUCGUGGGGGAUAACGUAGCGAAAGCUACGCUAAUACCGCAUACGAUCUACGGAUGAAAGCGGGGGAUCGCAAGACCUCGCGCGAAUGGAGCGGCCGAUGGCAGAUUAGGUAGUUGGUGGGUAAAGGCUCACCAAGCCAACGAUCUGUAGCUGGUCUGAGAGGACGACCAGCCACACUGGGACUGAGACACGGCCCAGACUCCUACGGGAGGCAGCAGUGGGGAAUUUUGGACAAUGGGCGAAAGCCUGAUCCAGCCAUUCCGCGUGCAGGAUGAAGGCCUUCGGGUUGUAAACUGCUUUUGGACGGAACGAAAAACCACUUUCUAAUACAAGGUGGUCAUGACGGUACCGUCAGAAUAAGCACCGGCUAACUACGUG